AACGAACGCUGGCGGCGCGCCUAAUACAUGCAAGUCGAGCGAGAAGACGUAGCAAUACGUUUGUAAAGCGGCGAACGGGUGAGGAAUACAUGGGUAACCUACCCUCGAGUGGGGAAUAACCAGCCGAAAGGUUAGCUAAUACCGCGUACGCUCCUUGGACUUCGGUUCAGGGAGGAAAGCGAUACCGUGGGUAGUCGCGCUCUUGGAUGGGCUCAUGUCCUAUCAGCUUGUUGGUGAGGUAACGGCUCACCAAGGCUUCGACGGGUAGCUGGUCUGAGAGGACGAUCAGCCACACUGGCACUGCGACACGGGCCAGACUCCUACGGGAGGCAGCAGUAAGGAAUAUUGCGCAAUGGGCGAAAGCCUGACGCAGCGACGCCGCGUGGGGGAGUGAAGGUCUUCGGAUU
rnacentral:rRNA from 1 species